GGACAAGUAGUUUAAAAUUAAAACAUAACACUGAAAAUGUUAAAACGGCAUCUGCCCUUUUCCA
rnacentral:tRNA from 1 species